rnacentral:rRNA from 1 species
UACGGGACUCAAUUGAGGCCCCGUAAUCGGAAUGAGUACACUUUAAAUCCUUUAACAAGGNUCCAUUGGAGGGCAAGUCAGGUGCCAGCAGCCGCGGUAAUUCCUGCUCCAAUAGCGUAUAUUAAAGUUGUUGCGGUUAAAAAGCUCGUAGUUGGUUCUGCGUGCCACGCUGUCGGUUCGCCGCCUGCCGGUGCUACUGGCAUGUCGUGGCAUGUCCUGUCGGUGGGUGUUCGGGGCCCCGUGCGGGCGGCAGGAGGCCGGGUGCAAAUCCGUGCUCCUCCCUGCACGUCGGCGGGUUCACUCCGGCUCCCUACUAUCCUACCUAGGUGCUCUUCACCGAGUGUCGAGGUAGGCCGACACGUUUACUUUGAACAAAUCAGAGUGCUUAAAGCAGGCUGAAAAAUUCUGCCUGAAUGAUGGCGCAUGGAAUAAUAAAACAGGACCUUGGUUCUAUUUUGUUGGUUCUUAGGAACACAAGGUAAUGAUCAAUAAGGACAGGCGGGGGCAUUCGUAUUGCGGGGUUAGACUUGGCAAAUGCUUUCGCGGUGAAAUUCUUGGAUCCUCGCAAGACGACCGAGAGCGAAAGCAUUUGCCAAGUAUGUCUCGAUUGAUCAAGAACGAAAGUUAGAGGUUCGAAGGCGAUCAGAUACCGCCCUAGUUCUAACCAUAAACGAUGCCAGCCAGCGAUCCGCCGAUGUUCCUCCGAUGACUCGGCGGGGAGCUUCUCCCCCGGGAAACCAAAGCUUUUGGGUUCCGGGGGAAGGUAUGGUUGCAAAGCUGAAACUUAAAGGAAUUGACGGAAGGGCACCACCAGGAGUGGAGCCUGCGGCUUAAUUUGACUCAACACGGGAAACCUCACCAGGUCAGGACAUUGUAAGGAUUGACAGAUUGAUAGCUCUUUCUUGAUUCAGUGGGUAGUGGUGCAUGGCCGUUCUUAGUUGGUGGAUCGAUUUGUCUGGUUAAUUCCGAUAACGAACGAGACUCUAGCCUAUUAACUAGACGAUCCGAGAGCCCACGUCUCUCGCGACAAUCACUCUUCUUAAGGGGACAGGCGGCUUAUAGUCGCACGAGAUUGAGCAAUAACAGGUCUGUGAUGCCCUUAGAUGUCCUGGGCCGCACGCGCGCUACAAUGAAAGAAUCAGCGUGUGUCUCCCUGCCCGAGAGGGCUGGGUAAUCCGCUGAACCUCUUUCGUGCUUGGGAUUGUAGCUUGCAAUUGUUCUUCAUGAACGAGGAAUUCCCAGUAAGCGCGAGUCAUAAGCUCGCGUUGAUUACGUCCCUGCCCUUUGUACACACCGCCCGUCGCUACUACCGAUUGAAUGAUUUAGUGAGGUCUUCGGACCGGCGGGAAAUCCCUAUCGCUCCGGCGGUAUCGACGAACGCUGGGAAGAUGACCAAACUUGAUCAUUUAGAGGAAGUAAAAGUCGUAACAAGGUUUCCG